ACAACUUUCAGCAACGGAUCUCUUGGCUCUCGCAUCGAUGAAGAACGCAGCGAAAUGCGAUAAGUAAUGUGAAUUGCAGAAUUCAGUGAAUCAUCGAAUCUUUGAACCCACCUUGCACUCCUUGGUAUUCCGAGGAGUAUGCCUGUUUGAGUGUCAUUA
rnacentral:rRNA from 1 species